CGUGUAGGCGGUUAAUUAAGUCGGUUGUUAAAUUCCUCGGCCUAACUGAGGGCGAGCGACCGAUACUGGUUGACUAGAGUGCAGAAGAGAGAAGUGGAAUUAUCGGAGUAGCGGUAAAAUGCGCAGAUCUCGAUAGGAACACCGAUUGCGAAGGCAGCUUCUUGGUCUGUCACUGACGCUAAAGUGCGAAAGCGUGGGGAGCAAACAGGAUUAGAUACCCUGGUAGUC
rnacentral:rRNA from 1 species